CCCCCGUUGCCAUGGCGGCGGCGGCGGCGCCGGGACGGGGGCGGCACAGCGGCCUCGAAACCGAGGCCUCGAGGCGCCCCAAGCCUCUGGGAGUCACCCCAACUUGCCAGGUCGGCUCUUUGUGUUCGUCUCCUACCGAUGCCGAGGCGGGGAUGGGUCACCUGAGGGGCCGCUCGCCUUCCCCCCUCACGCCGUUCUCUCCCCGCGGGGGUCUGUCUGCUCUCUCUCCUCAAACUCAGCGAAAUCAGGCAUCUCUUAAAAGCUUCUAUUUGCCGUGGAUGUUGUGUUAUUCCAUAGCUCGACAUCCCGGAAGAACUGCUCCUCCCAGGAAGCCUUGCCCAGGUCUGCCUGGCGAGCAGUUUGCAUUUGUGUGAUGGUUCUGAAUAAAGGAAAAGAUCAGUGUGAUCUCCUGGCUCCUCUCUGGCAGCCCAGUAUUUGUGAAGGCUGCUGAUAUAGACUGAUACAGGAGUGGCUUUUUGCAUGCAGAACACCAUUUAUCUCAAACCCAACCUAGACAAGUUCAGAUCUAUUCAGCAGGACAAAACUGGAGAGCUGCUUCAUCAGUUCCAAUCCAUACUGUGACUGGUCUCAUGGAAAGGAUCAUAUUGAUGAAUUAGUGUUGUUACCCUCCCAGCCAUGGAAGAAUACCUCACACAAAAAAAUCCAUAGGUGACUUACAGGUUUGGUAAGCAGCCUGUGAGAUUUGGGAGAAACAUUCUGGUAUACCUGUAAAUCAGCUUUGAUCUAAAUUACCUGCCAUUGUGGAUAUUUUAGUCUUAAUUCAUGCAUUUCCACCACAUUUCAGAACAUGUCCUUUAUCUGAACAGCUUUGCUUUCUUGUUUGUUUGUUUUUUAUGUUUGUCAGUCAUUACACAGUGCUAUUUAGAAUCAAUUUAGCACCCUUCCAUGUGCUGAGUGGUUGUGGUGAGUGAUGAUUGCAGGAUUAGCCUGCUAGUAAUUAAAUGUUGCUGCCUCUUACAUUGAAAAUGAAACAUCUCUAUGGAAUUUCAGAGUUUCUUGCUUUAUUUAGGUUGGGUGUGCCUAAAUAGAAUGGGUAGGUUAACCAAGUCAGUGCAGGCACAGUGCAAUCAUCAAAAAAAUAAAUUUAAAAAAAGCAUAAAGAAGAAGGGGAAGGAACAGACAGAGAAGAAGAAGAGAAAAAGAAAUUGAGAAAAGGAAAACAAAUUCAACCAGUCAUUAAAACUUUGAAUUGCAUGGGAAAUUAUCCACACUUUGCUGAAUUUUGGGUGUAAUUUCCUAAUUUUGGCUUUGUGCAAUCCAGAUAAAGGUUUCCUGACUGGACUCAUUUUUACUAACAGAUGGCUCUUCAAAAUUUGCAAGUAUUAAGUGGUGUAAAAGAGGACAUGUUGCCUGCUUGUUGAAGCCUAGAGGGGUGAGCCUGUCUCAGUAAAGCAGAGGCUGGGUUCCUCACCAUUUGUGGACCUGCUGAAUGCUUGAUUUUCAUCUUGGCUUUACCACUAUGAAGAGCUUUACCUCUUGAAUUCAUUGAUUAAUGUUUUAAGCAGAAUUGAAGCCCUUUUUUAAUUUAUUUUUUUUCACAAUCUGCUACCUAAAAUCACCUUAUUUCACCGUUCAAAGACAGUUCUUUGCUUCUUUAAAGACUUAUUAGACUGAUCUGUCCCACGCUCCUCACAGGACUGUAGCAGUGUAACUUCAUAUCAUACAAAUGAUGAGCUUCUGUUUGAAAUAAUAGGGAUGAUGCCUAAUCCUGAACAGACAUGAGAAGGAUUUUAAACAAAGGUUGUCACUGAGAGGCCUGUAAGCUACCCUCACUUAGUUCUGUCUGGCCUGUGUAAGGGUGAAGAUGAAGGCCUUUGAGUGUCUUAAUUAAAGCAAAAUGAGCUUUUUUACCUUGAGUUCUUGUUACAUUUAAGGAUUCAUGCUGAAUAACAAUAAUAAAAGAUGAAUCCUAUCUGGUUUUCUGUUGACUGAUAGCUUAAUUUAGUGUAUGACAGCUCAAAGUUUAGUCUGCCAGCCAACGAAGGUAUGCAGUUAUCAACAUUACUGAUAGGAUAAAACAAUUACGUAAGCUUAUUUUCAAAUCUCCCCAAAUCCCAUAAUACUUAACAAAGUAAAACCCUUGAGCUAAAAUGUACCUGUUUACAGAAAGGUACAACAUCAAAUAGAGGUUUCAUUCAGAACUUUGGGUAGACUAAGUGGCCUUGUUGGCUGCUUUUUUCUUUUUCCACCUGUUGCCAUUUUUAGCAUGAAACAUAUCAAACUGAAAGUAUGGGCAAGAAGAACACAGUUGUAAAAUAGAAUUUUGAGAGUUUUCAGAAAACUUUGCCACUUCUUUGCCUGCAAGGCUGCAGAGGCCCAAGCCCUGAACAGUGUGUUCUGUGUGUCUUGAGUGUCUACUAGUGCUGCAUCUUUGAGCUGUAACAGUAUUUCCCGAACCCUGUGUCUAACCAUUGCCUUGGCAGGACUCCAGAUUAAUCCUGUGGGGAGAGGAAAGUGCCUGUGGAGCUUGGCAAAAGUUGCUUGUCCUUUCCUCCUGAAGAUAUGCAUUUGUUCCUGGGUAGUGUGGGAGGUGGCUCCUCCCUCCUGCAUUUGUAGCCACCAUGGAAACAGAUAAUUCCAGAAGAUGAUCUAAUAAAACAAUUGCAGACCCAAAUGUCAUUACAGAGGUCUGAGACUCUCUCUCCUGACACUAAAUUGUACGUGCAUCUCCUGACAGCUAAUUUGUACGUGCACGUGGCAAGCAGUACCACAAGCCUGCUCAUAAAUGCCCCAAACCAAGUUAGAUGGAGACUCCAAGGGAUGAAUAGGGUGAGAACAAAAUGCCAAGGGCCAAGAAAGACAAAAAAGCACAAACAGAUUCAAAGUUUAGAUCAUGGAAAGUGUGAAAUUAUAUUGUCAAUGUGAGGCCAUCAGACAAGGGAGGCAUUCUGUUGUUGAAUCACACGUUGCAGGCCCCUGUAAGCAUGUAAUACAGAAAGUACUGAAGAUGCUGUGCAAGGCAGGUGUGUAAAAAGGAUGAGCAAACAGAGGAGGAUCAUGAGCAAAGAAAAAUUGAGAAGAAAGUUUUUGAAAGAGGAAGAGGUCAGAAGAGAGCCUGGUGGCACAAAAACUGAUAGGGAAGGAGUAUGACAGUAGAAUGAAGGCUGAAGGAAAGCACAGCCACUGAUUUAAUUUGUUGUUUUCAUCAGAAAUGUAUCCUUUUGCCAGUGCUGGAUGCCAUGCACAUGCAUAAGAACAUACAAGCUUUUCAGCUUACCAGGGUGAAACUGCCUUCCAGAACUCUGGCGUCGAAGGCACCUACAAGACCAAAUAAAACAACCUUCAGUAUUAAAUCAGUGUCAGUGUUCAAUAACAUCCGGUGCCAGGCAGGGAGAUGCCAGCCCAGCUGGGUGAGUACAUGCCAGAGCAUUUGGAUGGUAAUUGGCUGAUGAAUUGAACUCUUAAACAGAUACCUAGGCAAAGAGCAGAGCGGCCAAAUUCCAGGGAGCACUACCCUGCUAUCUCCACUGUGUUGCAAAAUCUGUGAGUCAGAGGGAGAAGAAAGCCCUGGGCAGUACCUGCAGGGAGUACUCUGACCCUCACUUCAGCAAACUUGUGUUUCUGGGCCCUUUUCAAGUGUGCUUCCAGGCAGGACUCUGCCCCGAUGUCUGUGAGGAGGUGAACCAAGGUCUGCAGCAGGAACAAAGGGUUCAUUUGCUGGAAGGAGAUAAGUGCUGUGAGCAGGACAUCAGGAGACAGAACCCUCAAAGCCCAACCUCCUGUUGCAGAGUUGUGGUCCAGAGCCUGAGCUGCCAUUAUAAAAACAAGCAGGCCAGAUCCUCAGCUGGCACAGAGCUGCACAAACUCAGCAUAUUAGCUCAAGCUGCAUCUUCUUUAUUGCUUGGGGCACUGAAGAUCAUGAUUGAAAAGAUGCCCAGGAUGUAAGAGAUGAAGUAAAGUGUACUGAAUUUACCAGCAGCCUUAAGUAAAAGCCUAAGUUGCUUAAUUUAUCCUUGGAAUCAUUUAGCAGUGAGCUUUUUUUACCUAUCUUGUGGGUGCUGUCAUAAAUGGCCUGUGGGAACAGUGGAAUUGUCAUAUCUGGACGUUUUCAAGAAUAUCACUAUUGAGAUUCAAAUAGAUGCAGCUGAAGCAGAGGAACUGAGGAGAUCAUCUCUUGGAGUCUCUUCUAACCUUAUUUUUUGCAUGAUUUUAGCAAAUCUGUUCAGUUGCUGUCCUAAGCUGGUGAUAUUAUCCUGCUUCCAGAGGCUUGUGUCCCAGAAACUCCGGCUCCCAAACCCCUCUACUUCCUCCAUGGCUCCUCAUACAAUACAACAUGUGGUAUUGUCAGUUUUGCAAAAUAUUGUGAAAUCAAGAUCUGAACUGUGGCAACGGUGUGAAGUAAAACAAAAAAGAUAUCAAAGUUAAUAGGUAACCUGCUUAUUACAGUGUUUCAUGUCCUGCUCAACAUAAUUUUCUACUUCAAAUUUGGCUGACAGUUGCCCUAAAAACACAAGUGUGCUCACAGCAAUACUGAAGCAAACUGGGCUUGAAGAAAGGAACCAGAACAAGGUGCUAGAUCUCCUUCUAGGAGUUUCCCCAAAGAGAUUUAGCUCACCAGGGUUGGACAUCUGCUCCCUGAGCAUCCUGCUAUCACUUCACAUCCAAGUGCUCUUGACACUCCACCCUGCCAGUACCUCUUGUCUCCUGCCUGUGAUUGGGACCAGUGUGAAACCUCAGGCUCCAUUCCCCUCACUGUAGGAGGUGAAAGCACAGGCCAGAUGUGCAGCCAAAGUGAGAGGUAGAGCUGGACAUCAGCCGGUUCCUGCUGGUUCACAGACCAGUAAAUUCCCUUAAGUGAUGUGUGAUAGUGCACCAGCUCUGUUAAACAGUUCCAGAAUACCAUUGCUUCACCAGGAUUAUUUUUCAGACAUCUUGCUACGUCUGAGUAUGGAUACAUUUGUAGUUUCCCUGCCAAGGGUACCAUAGAUCCAUCAGCAACUUACUUCUCCCUUGCCCUUUACUUCCUAAAUCAAGAAUUAAUAGGAAGAAUUUGUUGGCACUGUUUUGGGUGUGCUGCCAACACAUCUGAAACAGCCUGGUCAUAUUGUCUAAAAAACACUGGUAGCUGACAAGUCCUGCAGAGAAAUGGUGCACAUGGGAGGACUGUGAGCGAGGCGAGAGAGACGCUCUGCUAUUGAUAAGCUAAAAUCAGUGUUUGUUCCCAGGAUCCAAGCAGCCAGUUGCAAUGUUGUGUGUUCCUGGUGCCUGACCUUCUCCCGAGGCUGCUGUGCCUUUAUCAGCCUGCGAGCUUCCCAUUCCACGGACCAGACACUGAGGAGGGGGAAGGGAAAGGAAGGGCAGGGAAAUGCAGGAGGGCAAAUAAAUUCAUUAGUUUUUAUAAAUGUAUUAUUUCUUUUUCUUGAUUCUAUUCACAGUCCAGGGAGAAGGAUCUAGCAGGGGGCAAAAGAUUUCUGAGCACUGCUGUGCUAACAUGACAGCUACAUGGGGAGGCAGUUCUGGGUCAGAAGCUCAAUUCCUCCUACCUUUGGUUCAAGAACUGUUAUGCAGGUGAAAGAAAAAACAUUUCCAGGAUAAAAUUGUGGUAGAGUGCCAGAUAGCACACUUGAAACCUUCCUUUGCCCUGUGACUGUGUGGUAUGAUUAUACAGCUUAAAAAUAUGGAUAAUUUCCUAAAAAAUAAGGGCAGAAAAGAAAGGCAGAAUGGAUCCUGUGCAGGUUGCUGCUCUCUGCAGGUGAUCCCAUCCCAGUCCCACUGACAGCCCCAUGGCAGGGGAGGAAAGGGGGCUCUGUACUUUAAUGCAAAACCUGCGCUCAUGCAGCUGUAACAUUUCUUCUCCAUCAUCUGUGAUGUUUCUCCUUUUUCCUUUCCCCUCUUACACCUGACUGCUGCCACUGAAGCUUGCUUUCUCUCUCCCUCAUCCUCUGUCCACUUGUCCCCUCAUUCCUCAGAGCUCCUCUGGCAUGGGCCUUUUGUGGCCUGGGGAGGAGAGAGAUGGGAGCAGGGGAGGGCAGAUCACCUGAGUGGAACCAGGAACCAGCAGAGUUCAACUUCAAAAACACGAGUUACUGGGUCAGUAACUGCCCCAGGGUGGACAGGACUGAGGAAGUUGGUUACAGGUGGAGCCAGUCUGUGCUCAUGGCUUUUCCUUGGCUGUUCUGGUAGAGCACUACAGCCCAAGCUGAAGGAAAUUCUGCAGGCGAUUUUCCUAACAGGAUAAAAUAAACCUCUCUUUUCAUAGGCAGAAUUCAGCCCUGAAAGUAUAUGAAUAACGUCCCCCUAACUGGCAGCUGAUACUGCUCCCUGCAUUACGCUCCUGUUAGCAGGAAACAAGUGAGGCCUCUCUGACCACUCAGUGGUUCAAAGUGUUCAAGACAAACCACAAAUAACCCCUGAAGGCAGGAGGAGGGACAGGACAGAAUGUGAAGAGGGUUAUAAAUCAUCGCUGCGAUCCCAGAUAGGAACCAGGCAGGGGUCCUGAGCCUGCUCAUCCAGUCAGACGGGUACACGUGCAGACAUUCGGCUGCAGAUGGUGACACCACAGCAGCAGGUGACCUCAGCCCACCACAUGGGAAGCAGAAAGCCCCUCCUGCACCUCCUGCAGCGCUGGAGGAGACCCACUUCUUCCCCCUGCCCUUACACCCUGCAGCCAUGGGCUGCCCAGACAGUCACACAGAUUAAAUACGCUUUUAGACAUGGAAGCUGUUAUUUCUCUGAAAUGAAACAGCUUCCCACACUCUUAUUAACCUGUGCCCUACUUCAGAAGUAAAUUUAAUUUGCAAUUUCAUAGUUAGCUGGUGCUGGUGUUGGUUUGUCCUUGUGUCUUCUCUGACUUGGCUGGGUACAUUUAUGCAGCACCAUAUGUGGCAGAGUCCUAUUUAAUGUGGCUUGAGAGCAUUAUUCCUCACAACAGAGUGAGGAGUUGGGGUGCUUUUUGUUUCACUGGGGGAGAGAAAAGUUAAAGCACAAAUGUUAAAAAUGUCCCUGCAAAACCAAUUUUUGUAUUCAGCAGAGAAUGAAUUGCUGUCUGCUAAAUGAAGUUUGUCAUCUGGAGUAUUCCUGCACAUCUGGUCAUCUUCCAUGCAUGGAGUGCCUAAAGAGAACUACUGUACCAGAGAGGAGAGCACAUUUCAGAGGACUCGCUGGAUUUCUGAUGGCAAACAUCAAACAAAAACGGGCAUUGUUUCACAGACACACAAAGUAAUAGAGAAAGGGAAGUGGAAACUUCAGCAAUGACCCCACAGAAACAACAGAACAUACAGCAAUUUAUGUGGUAGAUUCAACUGCAGAUUGCGUUCCCUAACCAGCAGUGCUCACCAGAGGAAACCCAAACCCUGUGUAACCAGUGCUCAGUGUUUCCUACUGCAGCCAGCACACUUUCUCGACUAUUUGUAAGGAACUGAACAUAAUUAAAACCUCGAAGACGUGUGCAGCA